rnacentral:rRNA from 1 species
GACGAACGCUGGCGGCGUGCUUAACACAUGCAAGUCGAACGGAAAGGCCCUGCUUUUGUGGGGUGCUCGAGUGGCGAACGGGUGAGUAACAUGUGAGUAACCUGCCCUUGACUUUGGGAUAACUUCAGGAAACUGGGGCUAAUACCGGAUAGGAGCUCCUGCUGCAUGGUGGGGGUUGGAAAGUUUCGGCGGUUGGGGAUGGACUCGCGGCUUAUCAGCUUGUUGGUGGGGUAGUGGCUUACCAAGGCUUUGACGGGUAGCCGGCCUGAGGGGGUGACCGGCCACAUUGGGACUGAGAUACGGCCCAGACUCCUACGGGAGGCAGCAGUGGGGAAUAUUGCACAAUGGGCGGAAGCCUGAUGCAGCAACGCCGCGUGCGGGAUGACGGCCUUCGGGUUGUAAACCGCUUUCGCCUGUGACGAAGCGUGAGUGACGGUAAUGGGUAAAGAAGCACCGGCUAACUACGUG